rnacentral:rRNA from 1 species
GAUCCUGGCUCAGGAUGAACGCUGGCGGCGUGCUUAACACAUGCAAGUCGAGCGAAGCAAUUUAAGUGAAGUUUUCGGAUGGAUCUUAGAUUGACUGAGCGGCGGACGGGUGAGUAACGCGUGGAUAACCUGCCUCACACAGGGGGAUAACAGUUAGAAAUGACUGCUAAUACCGCAUAAGCGCACGGUACCGCAUGGUACAGUGUGAAAAACUCCGGUGGUGUGAGAUGGAUCCGG